ensembl:lncRNA
AUGCUGUUAUUGUUCUCUAUAAGCCAUAUAAGUGAGGAUCCCCAAAUUUCCCCAGCAGAGGGGAAGUAUAAGUCUGAUUUAAAGAUGUUUUCUUUCUUUCUUUUAUCUACCUUGCUGGCUUUGAGCACAACCCAGGAAGAAGUUCAAAACCAAGAAAACGGUGUUUGGCAAGACCAGGAUGCUCAAUGGCAAGGUGAGAUCCUGGUUAUCUCUUUUUCUUCUAGCAUUUGUUUCCCUAAGUGGAAUACGAGAUUUACUGCAUCUUUUUGGUGAAUGAUAUGAAAUAGAGGCCUGAUGUUCAUGACUGGAGGGCUUAUCAUUGAGAAUUAUGUUAAGCUGUAAGUAAUAGAAUUCUUGACCAACUGUAGCUUAAACAAAUAGCAGUUUCAUUUUUGUAUAUAAUGGGAAGUCUGGAGGUAGACAGGCUCCUGUAUUUCAGCUCCUCUGUCUUCCUUUGGGGGUGCUCCACCCAUUGCAGGACACCCAGCAGCCUUGCCUCACUUACUGAAUACAGUUAGGGAGCUGCAGUGCUGUGACAGCCAGAUCGGCCAGCAAAGAUUUCCAAAAUGCUUCCAGUUGAGAUCCACUGGGCACAUUACUCCCCUGAACAAAAUCAGGGUUCUAUUAGCAAAGAAGAGGAGAAAGAGAAGUUGGGCUAGCACUGCCUGCCAGAGAAGAUAAUGAAGUGGAAAAUAAAGGGCAGAGUUAUAUUUAUUUACUUUUACUCUCAGGUCAGGGACUGACCUGAGUACAUUGUGCAAUGUGCAAAAGUAAUGUAACAUAAUGUCAUUCUGCCACCUGAAACUGUGACCAUGGAACACGUAGCAAAGAGGGAGUGAGGGAAAGGAAGGUAGGAGACAUCACUAUCAUCUGAUAAACAAGCAAGAGCUGGAGAAUAAUUACCCACAGGGUAAUUGACAGGAUUGAACAAACUCAUAGUGAAAGAAAAUGUCACAGAAAAAUUAGCUAUGCAGGACAUUUUAUCAAUUUUUUUUCCAGAAUUAAACAGACGGAUGAAAGAAAACAUUGUAAUAUGUAUAGCUCCUCCAUGAAAAGGAUUGUAAGCUGCUCCAAUUCUGUUACUCUCCUAUUAAAGGAAACUAAGGGUUAUAGAAAAAAGAAAAAUUCAGUUUUAAGCUGAAAUUAAUACUUGGUUGAUUCUAUAAUUCUACUAUUUUUCCUUUAUCUUUUUUAGGAAGUCAAUUCAGACAACCAUAUUAGUUUUAUUUAUUGUUUAAUUUACAGAUUAUAUGUAUCUCUCUGUGUGUGUAUGUGUGUGUGUAUCUUUUCUUCUUUCCUCUUUUCUUUUCUUUUCUUUUUUUUCCUUUCUUUGAGAGACAGAGUCUUACUUUGUCACCCAGGCUGGAGUGUAGUGGUGCCAUGACAGCUCACUGCAGCCUUGAUCUCCUGGACUUGAGUGAUCCUCCCAUGUCAGCCUCCCAAGUAACUGGGACUAUAGGCUCACACCAUCACAGCUGGCUAAUUUUGUAUUUUUUGUAGAGACAGGGUUCGCUAUGUUGCCUAGGCUCAUCUUGAGCUCCUGGGCUCAAGUAAUCCUCCUGCCUCUGGCCUCUGACACUAUAUUUUUACUCUUUUCUCUUAUGUACAGUGUUUCCAAGUCUAUGGUAUAAGGAACAUCAGGAGUUAAUAUAUUCAUAUGUUAAAUUUUCUUAACUUUCUAUAGUGUUAUAAUGGCAUAGAAUAAUUAUGGACGUUUAUAAUGCUUUCUGUCAUUUACUAAUUACUGAUGAUAUUUAUUUGCAUUUUAAUAAGAAGCCUGUAACCUAAUUGACCUCAUGUAAAGGAAGAAAGCUAUUCCUGUUAGUCCUAGUGAAAUUUGAUCAGUGUUUCUUGGAUGACAGUAAAUGUGAACAGAUAACAUACACAGUGUGCAAAAACUUCUGAAAAUAACUGAUUUUUGUAGAUUACAUAACUAGGGUUAAAGAAUUAGGGACCCUUAGCAUUGCAAGGUACUUUUAGGAAUCUCCUUGGAUUUAAUUAUUCUCUUUAGCAGUAAUCUUUGUCUAAUAUACUGUAAAUUUUACUAGUUUAUCUUUAUUAUCUAUCUUGUCCACUCCAAAAUAGAACUUUUUUGUUUUUUCUAUUUACUACUGUAUCAGGAGUGCUGACAACUCUGGAAUACACAGUAGGCACCCAAUACAUAUAAGGGAAUAAAUAAAUGAAUAAAAGCUGUCUGUAUCUGCUGAUCAUCCGCAAUUUAGAUGUCCCAUACUACAUUCCAAGUAAGCCUACAUUUGAACACACCUGGUAGUUUAAAAAAAUGUGUACAUGUAUGAAACUAUUUUAACAUAGCACUGCAAUAAAAUUCUAUUAAAAUAGAAAAACAUAAGUUGAGCAUCUUUCCAUAUUGUAUAAGUAAUUCCUUGACCCCAAUUUAAAUUUCA